ensembl:lncRNA
UAGCCCUCUUUUAUCAGAAAACAAACAUUUCCAGAGGCUCCAAUAGUCCUGCUCUUCAUGUUAACAGGAAAGGACUGUAAAUCUACUGCUCUGAUCAAAUCAUGCUUUAACAUGGGAAUGAAGUGCAUGCAACCUUUGCAGAACUCACUGAAGAAGGCUGUAUGUGAGUUGCACUGCGGAGCAGAAGACUAACACACUGAUGCCUCUCCUAUAAAAGAAAAGUUUCACACUUUUGAAUCUUAAUUUUGAUGGUUGGUAUUUCAGUGGCCAGUAUUUAACCAUCAGAGAGCUGUUAAUAGUUCCACGAAAUCUCCUUUGCAUUCAGCGCAAUAGAGUAUUAAUAGAAUCAUAGGAUAUCCUCAGUUGGAAGAGACCCAUAAGGAUCAUUGAGUCCAACUCCUGGCUCCACACAGGACCACCCAAAAAUCAGACCGUAUGGCUGAGAGCAUUGUCCAGACGCUUCUUGAACUCCAGCAGCUUGGGGCCAUGACCACUGCCCUGGGGAGCCUGUUCCAGGGCCCAACCACCCCCUGGUGAAGAGCCUUUUCCUGACAUCCAACCUGAGAAUGGUUUAAAUUAGCUUGGUUUAGCCUUUCGCUAGGGAAAUUUGGUGUGUGCAAAUAAUUUCUAUUAUACCAGCAGAACUAUCUGGCCGCAAAAAAGAGCUGGUGGGUACCAGAUAGGUACCACCUUCAGCUUUUUCACUCAGAUCCAGAAGAGGAGAUACUGUCGAGAAGCACCUCUGUAGAGCAAAGAUGCAGUGAGCAACAGGUCUAACAUUAUAUCACAAUAACAAUUCUAAUGACUAGUGCAGAAAUUUCUGUGAAGCAGCUGUUGACACAGUUUGUAUGGUAGUAAGCAAUGUAAAUCUGUAUUUCUAGUAUGAAGAACCACACACACCUUUGUACAUAGCUAAUAACAAAGUUGUAAUAAUUUAUUCUUAACAGUUUUGAGACAUAAGAAAUAAACUUUGUAAUUCUUUCUUUAAGGCUCUGUUGGCUCAUUUGGUGAUGGAUAUAUUGUGUUGUCUUUUCCUUAGCCCUGUGCACAUCCUCUGGGAGCUGACAAACAGCCUCCUAUCUCGCGGAUCUGGAGCUUUCUGGAGCUGCCAGCCAAGGCUGGGAGGCAGUGGGUGGUGUGUGGGGCUCCUGUGUGUUGUGCUGGGGCUGGAGGAGCCACAGGGCUUGGUGCCCUGCUGGGGGGAUUGCCUGGUUUCUGAGAAGAGGUUGCUUUUUUCCACUUAGUAGCAGGGAGAUGGUUCAUGUGAUAUGGACUGCUAAGAGUGGAGGUUUCCAGAGCCUCUUUUCAUUGCUCUUAGGACUAGCUCUUCCAAUCUCUUUAGCUGCAGAGUAAGACCAACUGUUAUUUGACCUAAAAUAAUGCUAUUGCUAUUCAUAAAAUGCAGUGUACACGAGUAAAUCGUUGUCCUAUUGUAUUAC